UUUACGACUCUCGGCAACGGAUAUCUUGGCUCUAGCAUCGAUGAAGAACGUAGCGAAAUGUGAUACUUGGUGUGAAUUGCAGAAUCCCGUGAACCAUCGAGUUUUUGAACGCAAGUUGCGCCCGAGGCUAUCCGGCCGAGGGCACGCCUGCCUG
rnacentral:rRNA from 1 species